AAGCCAAAAACGAGACCAAACAAAACGAGGCACAACAAUGAAGAAAAGCGCGAAAAGUACGAAGCAUAAUGAACUAAAACCAGAGAGAAAAACCGCGCACAACGUCUCAAGCAAGAUACAGAGCCGCGCACACACUCGGUACAACCUCAACGGGGAAAAGAUGCUCUCAGUGUUUGAGGUCUUGGGGUCUCGAGAACUCUCUGGCACUGUCAAGUAUCUCGCACUUGCACUUUAAUCAUCGCCAAAAGACCGCUGCCCUCGCGUCUUUUGCAUUCUUAUUAAUUAUUUUUAUUGCUCAGCUAUAAAUAAAGGCCUCCGAAAAGAGCCAGUCUCUUAUUAUGCAAAACCACACAUGAGAAAGAAUUAAUUAUAAUUCCCUUCGUUCUAACAGUUGGCUUAAAUAUUGUCACUUGCUUUGUAGGAGAUUCAUGACCAGGCGACACCGCUCCAAACAGUAUUUCCAAAUAGUGUUUCUAUUUAUUUUUGCAUAUUUUGUUGUGUUUCACUCAUUCACGUUCACGUUUCACAGGUUGGCACUACAUGGCUUAUGCGUGAUGCGAGAACCGAUUCAGAGACGCCGACCUCUGCUUGCUUUAUUUUACUUUUUAUUUAUAUUUUGUCUAUUUUUUUUUGUUAAACUUUCUGCCUGCCGCUCGUCCGCUGGCCGCUCGUCGACUGAUUGAGAUAUAUUGAGUCUGCCGCUCGAAACGCGCACACAAAGCACUAAUACAACGAAAGCACCAGCGGCAAAUGACAAAAGUGCCAGGGCAGCGCAGCGCAGCGGCAGAGGUAGAGGCCCACCAGCCCACUACGACCCCACUCAGCAAUUAUCUGGCUUUCGUCAUAUAUUUUUGACAAAACAGAAAGAUAUAGAGGAUGUUUGCGAAGCCAAAAUACCUCAAAUGAGAGGAUCAUCGCUGUCGCCGCUACCACACUCAUGCGUAAAUAUAUAUAUAUAUAUAUGUACACUGUGUGCUUUUUCUGCCCAGAUAACGAUAUCAACGCCGACUGCGCUCUCUCCAAAUCAUAUAUAUCCACACGAGAGAGCGGCAAACGCUGCCGAAGCCGACGACACAUGUAUAUGGGGCUAUUAGCAAGUCUAACUGCUAUAUGAUCUCACCAUCAAGAUGCUUGAAAGUGCUAGACCCCCUAUAAGGCGGAUUAUUUGUGCUUUCUCGCGAUUAGAUCAUCUUAACCUAUCCCAAUGCGAAGCUUCCAUAUUAUUUUAUUUUGAUUUGUGAUUUGAUUUAGAUUUUGUAAUAUAAUAGAAACCAACGAGUAGUAAUCAAAUAAUGCCCGUUCCUUGUGACGCAUUUAAAUCGAGAUAUGCAAACUAAACUGUAUUAUCAAAUCUUAUAAAUGAUAUUUGAAUCCGUGUAACAUCAUAUACACAAUACAUAUACAAAAACGCAAACCUUGGCCAAAAUUUAGCCAUCGCGCAUACAAAAUUGCAGAAAGUUAUAAAACAUUUACGGGACUAGUAAAGAUAAUAAUUCCUAAGACUUAGUAUUUAUUUUCUGUUUCUUACUGCUUGACAAGGUUCUAUUGAAAAAUGGCAAAGCCCAAAGAAACACCUGCAAAAUAUAUCAUACUUAUGUCACUCAGAUAAGCCUUGAUAAGAAGAGUAUGUUCUUUUAGGCCGACCACAGUUAGAAAACCCUUAAAACCUGUUGAAUAUCUGGGGGCCAUGAAAAGAAAAGGAUCACCAAUACGGCCAGGUGUGCAGAGUUGAUAUCUACAUAGGUAUUGACUAUUACUCAUCACUGAAAUCAAAAUAUGUCUGUGGAUCUUAUCAGCCAUGAGGAGCUCCAUACUAUAGAUAAGGUGAAAAAGUUUGCCGGGAGGAAAACGAUUCGUCAUAUCUCGGGUCCAAAAGAUCAGGCACCACAUGGAUGACACUAUCGAUUUUCUAAAAACCUUUUGGAGCAAUCCUUGGCCAUUUAAUUAUUAGUAAACCGAUUAGGGUUUUUCCAUGUUUAUUACCCAUUUAGUUCCUAUCUCAGAGCAAAACUUUCAGGUUGUAAAACUGUUAUGAAUGUUAUAACUUUGGGGUGAUAAGAUAUGAUUGCCAUGAAAGCAUUUAUCCACAUCAAGCUGAAGUUGAGUGGCGGGGCACUCUAAGCAUUAUUAAUCAUACUCUCGCGCCGUGCAAUCGCAAAAUGUUUGAUAAUAAUGCGCCAAAAACAAUAGCACAAAAAGAGCAACAAAAGCUCUAAACAAAAAUAAAAGCCGACAUGCGUCACACCAAAAUCGGAACACAUGGCUGCGUUGGCAAGGUGUUUUCUUGGGUGGGGUACUCGUGGCGAGUCUGCCAUAAGAAAAUGCAUAGAUGUCGCCUUUAGCCAGGUUCUACUGGUAUGCAGGAUCAGGUGAUAGCCAUGAGUACUACGGACGUGCUGAUGGUGGAACUAAAACAUAGAAAGAACUUAAAUUGCAACACUCAAUGGGUCUUAGAAUCGUGCCGAUCGGCAAAGUUAAAAUACUUUUUAUUCCUGAUGAUAGAAUGCGGCGGAUGUUGAAUAACCCAAUAGUUGAUCAGAUGCGAUGAUCAAUAAUUUCCAUUUUUGUGUGCGAGGCAGUUCGUGAAUAUAAUUACUAACAUGCGAAUAGAAGUUUGAAAAGGCAGAGCUAAAUAUGAAACCAAAAUCAAAGAGAUGGGCCCCAGUCUUGAUGGCAAAGAUCAAAAACCUCGCGCCCAGUUAAACGGUAAUCAGUUGAUGAUUUUCAAAUUAAAGCGAUGGAUGCAAGUGAAAAAGAAAUCUAAAUUAUAAAAGAAACUAAAAAUUGAUGAUGACGGAUUAAAAUGAUAAGUAUCGGUCUACUUUUUGAACUGUGCUGGAAAUUUAAUUUUGUUUGGAACUUCACCUGGCGAUGAUGGCGCCGGACUGUUACUCAAACUGUCCGUGGACGGAAGUUUGGUCAUGAGCACUUUUAGCGAAGGUCGCCGUUUGAAUUUGAAAUCGAAUACUGAGGAGCAGUUUGCAGCACACACAUACAUACGGGGAGAGAAAGAAAGCGAGCAAUAUGUAUAUUGAUAUAGAUAUAUAUUAUAGGUUAGGCGCUUAAAGAUCUUAGGUCACUGGUACAGACAGUUUUACGUUUACGCACGACAACAUAGACAACGACUAAUUGUACAACUGAAGACGGAAAACUUUGGGACACGAAACACACAGAAUGACAUCAGGACAACAAACUUAAAACACAAAUCCAUUGAAGAAUCAGAGUGUGACAAAAAUACAAAUACAUACAUACAUAGUUUCUCAACGAAAAUCAGGUAUUAUUAUGCCUAAAGUGAAUGCUUAAUUCUGAAUAAUACGUUGGUAAUUCUGGGUAUUUAGGAGAUCAAAAAGCCAGAUAAGGGAUAAGCUUGCUUUAAAUCAAAGUUAUCAAAACACUUAAUAGACCUUCCAUUUUGACCUCGAUUUUGGCUCUAGUUCAGUUCAACACAGUCUAACACGCUCAAUCCUUGACAGGACUAAGCCUGAGCCCCCUUGAUCCAAUCAGGCGUAAGGAAAACUCAAGACAUGGCCCCCCAGCCCAUCCAUUACCAUUACGGCCUUAAUUAUGGCCGCUCAUCAAUUGUCUGCUAUCGGACAUGGGAGCUCAGCACGCAGCUGGAGCUGAAGCGCCAAGGAGGCGCCUGCCUGGCUGGCGGUAAUUAAGAUUGCGAUGGCGAUGCAGAUGUGAAUGGCGUGGGUUGGGAUAGGAUGGCCGAGAAAAUACAGUGCCCUGAUUGAUUUAAAAUAAAGCGCCAACGCCUUGCAGGCAAUCAAUUUACGCAAUUAGAACACGCCUUCGUUGUUUCUAAUAGUUCAGGGUUCAACGCCAAAGUCGUUUACCACAUAUUAACCCCGCACGCUGAGAAUUAAGGUAAAUAGCAUGUAUAUCUACCUAACGAGAACUGUUUAAUUAGGAAAAUAGUAAUAAUCCACAACAAUUACGAUUAUUUUAUGAAUCAAUUUACAAAACAAAAAAAUAUAAUUCACUAAGCCUGAGCAAUACAAACCAUAGGGCUACACUAAAUUGAUUGAUAAUGUUUGAGUCACAGCGAAACUUUUUCUGCUGCAACUAAAUAAAUUUUUUUCAGCGUGGCUGUUCCGUUAUUUCUGGUCCGAAGGAUUCUAGCUGGUGCAAGACACUGCACCAUACAAAGAGUGCAGUUUUGAGUUGCCCACUGGGUUUCGCCCGAAAUGACGUAAUUUUUGCCUCUAAAAUGGCGCCGCUCUAAAUGACCCCCAUUCUCGUUGACCCCGCCACAAAAUAUAUUUCGUUGCUUUUUUUUACGUAAUCCAAUUACAAUUUAGUUGGCUUUUAGUGUGAGCGUGUGUGUUUGGUCGGUCGGUCACUAUACUUUAUGGUCAAUACGUAUAGAGACUUUAACUAGAAACUUCACUUAAGAAGAGCGAGGGAUCAAUGGGGGCCUGCACAAGAAAAAACACUUAACAGCCAUCUACUCAUUGCGUCCAUCUAAUGUUUUAUUUAUCGGACGAUAAUUUGCUCAAAAGCAUGCCGUAAAGUAUUCAUUGCACCACAGACACACCUUCACACUCACGUGACCCUUUUAAUAUGCAAAUGCACAUGUAAAUAGCAAUUUCCGACCGAAAUAUUACAAACUUAUAGUUCACAUUUUGUACGAUUUAUAACCACAUUUAACAGCCAAUUUACAAUUAGCACUUAAAAUAAUAUGCUUUUCAAUUUCUCCUUUCGUAUAGAAAAAUAUAUUAGUGUUUCAUUUCGCUUUUUUUUUUUAUAUAUUUAGUUUUAUUAAAGCGACGAAUCCGUACAUGCAGUACUAGUACCAUAACAUUGCAUUCAUUUCGCUAGUAAUUAUUUUCUGUGUAAGCUGCAUCUCUGUUCUGCAAUCCGUAUCUCGCUUUUGACCUUUUGGAGAGGGCAGCAAUUUUCAGCAACAACAAAAAUAGAACGCGGCUCUGGGGGUUGAGUCAAAAAAGGGGGGUGGAAUACACCAACUGACCCUGCUUUUAUCCUUUUCGUCCUUCACGAAGGCCCACUUUUAAAACUAUGAAAAUGUAGCCGAAGAAUGCAUUCUCUUAAGAACACUUUUAUCUCGUUUUGAACUUUUAGGACCCACAAACUUUAAAAGUAAACCAGUUAUUCAAUACAAUAAGUUAAUUAGCAUUUAAGAUUAAAGCUGUCCUACUUUCUUAGAAAGAUCGUUGCAUAGUUUUAGGCUUUUACUGACAUUAAAUCUUUAUAUAAUAUUAUUCAUUUAUCAGAUUUUUAUAC